rnacentral:lncRNA from 1 species
UUAGCAAUAGACUCCUCAGGAGCAGAGCUAAUGUGAAUGAACGUGGCUGGCCCGGCGCCGGGGGCAGAUACCUGGGAACAGCCAUGAGCUUUGUGAUGAUCAAGGGGCAAUCUGUGUGUGUGCUUGGUGGGAUCUUGCAGAGGUUGGAAGAGGCCAGAGAAGACUCCACCAGCUCUUGCUGAAAAAGUCUUGCAGCCUCCCCUCAGCCCUAAAACCUUCCCGG